AUACAUUUAGUUUUGGCAACUCCAAGCAGUGAAUAAUUGCUUCCUGGAUCAUGAAAGCCGCAGGUUUGGCUACAGGCAACCAUUCACUGGCUCACUUUAGUGGUCAUCCUGAAUAAAUCUUUGCAGAGCAACAAGAAAGUAAGUGAUGUGCAGAUAUGCAAAUCUUUUACAAUUCAACAUCAUGUAUAUAUACAUGUGUGUGU
rnacentral:lncRNA from 1 species